UACGAGUGCCUCAAGCGUUAUCCGGAAUCAUUGGGCGUAAAGCGCGCGUAGGCGGCUCGGAAAGUCGGGCGUGAAAUGCCGGGGCUCAACCCCGGGACUGCGUCCGAUACUUCCGAGCUGGAGGUAGGUAGGGGAGAUCGGAAUUCCUGGUGUAGCGGUGAAAUGCGCAGAUAUCAGGAGGAACACCGGUGGCGAAGGCGGAUCUCUGGGCCUUACCUGACGCUGAGGCGCGAAAGCUAGGGGAGCGAACAGG
rnacentral:rRNA from 1 species